ensembl:lncRNA
GUAACGUACCAUUUCUCUGACUCGGCACACUCGGAACCACAGUUCCAGCUCCUCUGCCUCUUCUUCUUUCUCCACCCCUUACUCACCCUAAUAUUUUUUACUGAAACAUCUUUCCCUGUGAUGUCAUUAAACCAUCCAUCCAUCCAAGCAUCCAUCCAUCCAUCCAUCCAUCCAUCCAUUCAACAAGUCUGUAUGAAGCACUAGCUCUGCACUAGGCACUAUGCUGGGUGCAAAGUACAGAUGUAACCCUUGACUUGAAGAGUGGCGAGAUCUUCCGGAGAGCAGCGCUUACCUUUAGAAACAAUGGAUACAGUGCUCUUUGUGCCCUUUCCUCUUCCCCGAUCAGAAUUGCUCUCAAAUGUCACAUGACAUGGCUGCCUUUCUAAGAAAUCUCUCUGUGGGCCAAACUGGGGGUUCUGGGCUGGUUUGCUUCAAGCCAACCUUGGCAAUAUUUUAUCCAUUUCUUUUCCUUCUUUUUUUUUGGCUCUCCUUUACUUACCACCAGUUGUUGUUCAGCUAAAGAAGGACGCUUGAAAUCUAGCAAACCUGAAACAAUUCUCGCUGACAGCAUGGAGGUGCGGUGCACACACGCAUAUACCCAUGCGCUCCUCCCCGUUGACUAUAGCCCUCUGAAAGAACUGGCCUUUGACCUGUGACCUGCAUCAGCCUCGUAUGCUUGCCAUAGACACUGCAUCUACUUCUCUGACUUUAACCACCAGCUUCCUGACAAUGCCCUAGGCCGAUAAUGUGCUUCUGUGAUUUUAACAUCUCAGCCACUUAAUACAUCCCCUCUUCUUUUGUUCCUUGGCUCUUCCUUAAAUGGCAGGAGUGUGAGGGGAGGAAGCCCUCCCAGGAGAGGGCUGAUCGCCUGUCAAUGAGCUUUCUUUGUUCCUUCCCCACUUUCACAGCUAUUCCCCCUGGCCUGGGUUGGCUCCUAUGACGUCUUUUCCAAAUGCUACAAGGUGAGAGGGGCUUGAACAGAAACCUAAAUCCUUGUUAAUUUUCUCUUGGAAAAGUCUGGAACUGCAGCCUUUCCCAGGGGCUUGUCCAUGGGCCUGAUCCAAGUGCAUAGAAUGGCCAUGAGGCCCAGAUGUGUGUAUGUGAUGUCUUUGUGGGAUUUCCAUAGGUUUCCACAGGCCUCUGGCAGUUCACUGAAUUCUCAAGUUUAGAAAUGUUAUUAGCUUAUACAAUACAACUGUGUCUUCUCUUCUCUGCUUUCCCCUUUUUGCCUUAGUUCCUGGCAGUAGAAAUGGUAAUAGAAAGAGGGCAUGGAGCUGAGGCUGUGAUGGUACAAGGGACAGACUGUGAGAGUCACCCCAAGAUUUUGCCAGCCUCCUGUGGAUUCCCAACCCACAGUUUGAGGAAGGCUCUUGUCCAUCUGCUCUCGUCCAUCUGUUGACCACAAGCUAUAGACUCACCUGCUACCCAUUCUUUAAGAAAACUCCUGUUAAACACCUUCGAUGAGCCACUAAGCUAGGCCAAUGAAUGCAAUAAGAAUCCUGCUCCUCCAAAUUUUGGGUGGGGACAGGGGGAUUAGAGAAUUAUACACGGACAAGGAAUUGACUGCAUGUCACUGAUGCAUCCCACAGGGCUUAGAAAGGGUUGGCACCUGGUUGUCACUCAACAAAAUAUUUGUUGAAUAAAUGAAGGAACACAAUGCAUUAAGUGCUAUAAUCGAAAAAUAGAAGUAUGCUCUGGGCAUAUGGAAGCUUAAUUUUGCUUCUGAGAGUUAAAAAAGCUUUAACAGGGGAGAUGACAUUUGGAUUUAGCCUUAAAGCAUGAAUAAGAAUUCAGAGGAUGGAGCAAAAUCCCUCUGGCCAAAGUAAAGCCUGGAGUGGAGCGUGAUUUUGGAGUCCGAGAGACCAGUUUGUGAAGAGCUGAAAGAAUUCAGAGGGUCUGCUGUUUGUCAUUUACAGUCUUCCCACUCAGAGCUGCUGGAAUCCCUGGGCUCUGUCAGAGCUGAGGAAUGAUGGGACAAAGACAGACAGACAGACAGACAGGUCAAGUUUGCAUAAUUCUGCUUUGACAAAGUGGAUGAAACAAUUAUCUUCGUUAUCGGCCAGAGCAGUAGAAAUGUGAUAGUUGGGAGAUUUUUGCAGGUGGAAGGCCUUGGCUGGGGAUCAAAACCAAUGGUGAAAUGUGCUUAGGAAUUGUUUUCCUCCUCUCCCCUUCUUCCUGUGACUAUGGGCUCCCAGAGAUGGAUUGUGUAUCCCAAUGCGCUGUGUGAGUCCUAUAUCAUUGUGGCAAGAAGUAAUUUCAGGAGAAGGGGAAGCUGCAGAUAGAAGAGAGCUGGAAUUUUGCAGUUUGCUCUCUCUGACCUCCUUAUAUUUGUUUUUCCAUGCAUGCCCAGACCAAGUUCUCUCUAUCUUACUUUUGUCUUACCUCCACCUGCAUGAACGGAACAUGAAUUUUUCUAUAUUAUUAAUGAUACCUUGUAUUUAUUUUGUCUAAUUAAAGGUGAUUUAUUCAGUCAUUAUUUGAUCAACAUUUACUGGCUAUCUUUCUAGAUGUUAAACAAAAUCAGUGCUGUGGAAAUAGAGAGGGAGAAUAGUUAUGGAUUUUAUCCUCAAGAAAUGGUACAUUCUAUCAAGAGAAAUGAGACAUGAAUAGAAGCAAAUAUAACAAAAGAUAGACAGGAACUCACAUUUCAAGAGCUGUAGGCAGAGGGUAGUGUGGUUGUUUGGAG